CGGCGUUGUAAGUAGUACGGCAGCUGUUGUGUUGCGACGAACUGCUUCUCUAGUUGACGAUUUUUGCUAACACAGUGACAGAGAUGUCACAAGGCUUUGAUCGGUCACUUGGCUCCAAAAGUUGACUCACCGAACCUAAAAAAUGUCGGAGCGUGUAGUCCGCUGCUCUCUAAAAUAGCGUUAAAUAGCCGCUCCCACUGCCUUUUUAAAGGAGAUUAUUAUAAAUCGCAUUGUGUAUAGAGUUCGCAACGUACCCAACAGUUUCAUUGCACACGUUGUAAAAUUCGCGUCUGCGCUCUUUAGAAACUUGAAGCCACCGUAAUGUUCGACGACAGAACGAUUACCACUCAUUUUAACUCUUAAAAGUUGUCCGUGAAUGCGUCACGAGUUCAAAAAGUGAAUUACGCACACAGCUUCACUGCGUACGUAUCUUCAGCACCACCGUUAUGCUGCCGCCGUACUACGCGGAAAAGUUAGCUUUACAGUUUGAAAAGAGUUCCGUGACACGAUUUUUAAGGCCUGCACUGCAGCACGUUUUAAAGCACUGGGAUCGCUUAAUUUUUUGCAAGCUUUCUACUGAGCUAGACAUCCAACGAUAUUAAAAACAAGAUAUGCUCACCUUCCCUUGAAACAGAAUCGAUCAGACUAUUGCACAUAUCGGGUGGAGGACUUACUAGUGAAUACUUUUACUAUACUUUUACCAGAUCAUCUUCCUUUCACUACGGCACACAGUAGUAAAUCCUAAUGUCAUCUACGACAUUAGGCUGUCUGUAAUCAACUAAAGAAAGCUAGAUUAUCCUAUGAAUCUUUUUAAACAAUUUUUCCAGUCUCUUAAGGAGGCUAGGAAAGGGAAAUUUAUGCCGUCGAUCUAGCAUUGCAGUGGCCACCUAUGCUCGUUGUUUACAUUUCUUGCACCGCUCAUCCUCUUCUAGUUUCACUAUUCAAACGCAAAGCAUUCGCAAAUAUGUCUUCUUUUGUAUAUUUGUGAAUUUAUUCAUUUACCGCCAAAACAAGCGCUUUGUGCCUGCCGAAAUGGCAAGACAAGCGCUGAACAGAUCGCAGAAGCAGACGACAGCGAACAGGUUAUGACUAGCGCCACUCUGCUCGUACGUUCUUUCCCUAGCGGCAAAAGGGGCGAACUAGACCAGGCGUGCUGGAGGAGGGAGAUCUGUGCAGGUCUGUAGUUCAGUAGGUCGUGCUUUGGACAUUGAAUUUCUUGUGAGCGUCUGUGCAAGAAGGUGUAACCUUUCUCUAUGGUGAAACCUUUACGAGGUGUUUCUGCGUUGUAUGUUCGAUUUAAGUGGUCUUCGCUGCCGUGGUUAGUUUGUUUGGCUGCCCAGACUUGUUGCAGCCCAAGUAACAGUGAAGGGUGGCCAUCGAGCCAGGUUAUGGCUAUCUACCAGGACCCGCUGACGCUGCACGAGCUCCAAGCAUCGCAGUGCACCAGGAGCCCAGUGCACCAGGAACCCAAAUGCUUCGCAACCUGGCCGCCAGCGAGCAGCUGCACCUGCUUGACUGCUUAAACAUCUGGCAGUCAGGGCAGGUGCCGGAGUCAUGGCGCACAGCCUACGUGGCCCCCAUCCUGAAGGCCGGCUGAAAAACGUGAGCUCCUAUCGGCCAGUCUC